UUAAGCAUGUUGUCUGAGUAGUG
rnacentral:siRNA from 1 species